rnacentral:rRNA from 1 species
AUUGAACGCUGGCGGCAGGCCUAACACAUGCAAGUCGAACGAGUGGCGGACGGGUGAGUAAUGUCUGGGAAACUGCCUGAUGGAGGGGGAUAACUACUGGAAACGGUAGCUAAUACCGCAUACCAUCGGAUGUGCCCAGAUGGGAUUAGCUAGUGGGUGGGGUAAAGGCUCACCUAGGCGACGAUCCCUCGCUGGUCUGAGAGGAGGACCAGCAACACUGGAACUGAGACAGGGUCCAGACUCCUACGGGAGGCGGCAGUGGGGAAUAUUGCACAAUGGGGGCAAGCCGGAUGAAGCCAGGCCGCGUGUAUGAAGAAGGCCUUCGGGUUGUAAAGUACGUUCAGCGGGGAGGCGGUACCCGAAGAAGAAGCACCGGCUAACUCCGUGCCAGCAGCCGCGGUAAUAC